CAUUUGUUUUCUUUCUUCUGUUCGGUUUUCCACUUGUUGUUUAACAUUUUCACCUUGUUUCACUAUUUGCAAUCAAAUAAACGAUUUAUGUAGGUGUAUCUAUAUAUGUUCUUAGGAUCAUAAUAAAAAUAUAUUUUCUACAAAGUUUUUCGAAAAUAUAUAUACAUUGGGGAUUAUUUUUUUAACUGUCUACAGCUCACACAUGCAUAUUAUCAUAU